CAAAUACUCUCUCCGUCCGGAAUUACUUGUCGCAAAAAUGGGUAAAAAUGAAUGUAUUCUAGAAAUAAAAUAGGUCUAGAUACAUUCAUUUCUCCGACAAGUAUUUCCAGACGGAGGGAGUAGUUA
rfam:Hordeum vulgare subsp. vulgare, WGS project CAJW01000000 data, contig: morex_contig_137564